rnacentral:lncRNA from 10 species
GAGCUAGCAGCAGCAACCCGGUCAGGUCCCCUUUUGUGCUGUGGAAGCUUUGUUCUUUCUCUGUUUGCAAUAAAUCUUACUGCUGCUCACUCUUUGGGUCUACGCCGCCUUUAUGAGCUAUAACACUCACCGUGAAGGUCUGCAUCUUCACUCCUGAAGCCAGUGAGACUACGAACAAACGCAUUGGGAGGGACGAACAAACGCAUUGGGAGGGACCAACAACUCCGGACAUGAGGAACAAACAACUCCAGAUGCGCUGUCUUUAAGAGCUGUAACACUCACAGCAAAGGUCUGCGCCUCACUUCUUAAGUCAGUGAGACCACAAACCCACCAGAAGGAAGAAACUCCGGACGCAUCUGAACAUCUGAAAGCACAAACUCUGGACACACCAUCUUUAAGAACUGUAACACUCACCGCGAGGGUCCGCAGCUUCAUUCUGGAAGUCAGCAAGACCAAGAACCCAUUAUUCCGGACACAAAGGGGCAGCUGCUGUAGCUGUGUCACCUGACAAGCAACCAGCGCCCCCGCUGCACAAAGCAGCAGCAGCAGCAGUUUCAGCACAGCCCAGAAACGAGUGUGCUUCCGGGGGAGUGGCUUGCAGGGGCAGGAUUCGGACUUAGAUUUGGGGGCCUAAUUUGUUUCCUUGUUCCAGGGAGAAGAUGUCCAUCUAUAAGAAAGUGGUCCCUCAGCAGACACUGAAUCUGCUGGUGUCCUGAUCUUGAAUAUACCAGCCUCCAGAACUGUAACACAUGCAUGGGUGCAAAACAUGCUUCUGUGUCAUCUCACAUAGUGUGGUCAACAGAGAACACCUGGGCAGAAGAUGAGAGGCUCCUGGGGACUGGUCUGAGACAAGGUGCUGUAAAAGAAAACCUAUAUUAAAGUGGUUGGAAGUGCACAGACUGGUUGCUUCACCUGCAGCCAGAAUGCAAGACAGGUGCAAGUCAUCCCUGAGGAAGUAGUGACCAGCUGUGGAUGCUACGCUGAGGCCCUUCUUUAAGAGUGAUCUGAUGGCACUGGAUGUCUGCUGAGGCUUGUGUCUAGAAGGAAUGAAAGGAUGUGCCAACAACAGCAGUUGUCUCCUCGUUUUCAAAGCUCAGGCCUCAUGAUGGCUCUGUGGCCCAGGCUGGAGUGAAGUGGCACCAUCUCAGCUCACCGUAACCUCUGCCCCACAGGUUCAAGUGAUUCUCUUGCCUCAGCCUCCUGAAUAGCUGAGAUUACAG